rnacentral:rRNA from 1 species
UACGUAGGGUGCGAGCGUUGUCCGGAAUUAUUGGGCGUAAAGAGCUUGUAGGCGGCCUGUUGCGUCCGCUGUGAAAUCCCGGGGCUUAACCCCGGGCGUGCAGUGGAUACGGGCAGGCUGGAGGCAGGCAGGGGAGAACGGAAUUCCCGGUGUAGCGGUGAAAUGCGCAGAUAUCGGGAGGAACACCGGUGGCGAAGGCGGUUCUCUGGGCCUGUACUGACGCUGAGGAGCGAAAGCGUGGGGAGCGAACAGG